UCCUACGGGAGGCAGCAGUAGGGAAUCUUCCACAAUGGGCGCAAGCCUGAUGGAGCAACACCGCGUGAGUGAAGAAGGGUUUCGGCUCGUAAAGCUCUGUUGUUGGAGAAGAACGUGCGUGAGAGUAACUGUUCACGCAGUGACGGUAUCCAACCAGAAAGUCACGGCUAACUACGUGCCAGCAGCCGCGGUAAUA
rnacentral:rRNA from 1 species